GACGAACGCUGGCGGCGUGCUUAACACAUGCAAGUCGAACGGAAAGGCCCCCACCUUGGUGGGGGUGCUCGAGUGGCGAACGGGUGAGUAACACGUGGGUGAUCUGCCCUGUACUUCGGGAUAAGCUUGGGAAACUGGGUCUAAUACCGGAUAGGACCAUGGUUUAGUGUCUCAUGGUGGAAAAAUUAUUGUUUUGGUGCAGGAUGAGCUCGCGGCCUAUCAGCUUGUUGGUGGGGUAAUGGCCUACCAAGGCGUCGACGGGUAGCCGGCCUGAGAGGGUGGACGGCCACAUUGGGACUGAGAUACGGCCCAGACGCCUACGGGAGGCAGCAGUGGGGAAUAUGGCACAAUGGGCGCAAGCCUGAUGCAGCGACGCCGCGUGGGGGAUGACGGCCUUCGGGUUGUAAACUCCUUUCGUUAGGGACGAAGCCACACCUUUUUUGGGUGUGGUGACGGUACCUUUGUUAAGAAGCACCGGCUAACUACGUG
rnacentral:rRNA from 1 species